UGAAAUCUCCACAAGAUGGAUUCGAAAUUCAUUUAAAAAUGAUCAAUAUAAGAUGUUAGAAACAAUGAAAACGAAUAUCUUGCAAUCCUAGUCGAAUUUUGAUUUAUUAUUUUAUACCCAUUUUUUCUGUCGCGAUCGAUUAUAACAUGGAAAGAAAGUAACGAGUGUAAUAGCGACAAUAAAAUUAUUCUGGCCUCUGAUAAAGCGAGCACAGGUACAAAGAGGCAACUCGAAGCAGUCCACCAGCACAGAAAUUUCUUUCUUCUUUGUUCUCCGUCUCUCCGCUCGAGAUAAAGCAUUCAACCCAGCCAGAAUUCAGCUCGUAGAGAUAUAGGAAACAGAAACGGUUUGGUUGCGGGGAAAUCCCGGGAUUGAAAUUCGAUUACGUCACCUGGCGAGAAAAAGAAAUUGGCAAAGUGAAGAAAUAAAGAGAGAGGAGAAAAAUGAGAUACGCGUUAUUUACGUGUGAUUUAUCGAACUUGUGACGAGUAAGAAGGAUGCAGAGGAAGUAAAAAUGGAUAAUUAAAAGAAAUAUGGACGUCGCCAAUGCAAUUAAAAAUAACACGCCGGAUUUCUGCAGCGCGAGAUAUAAGAAUUUAAUGCCUGUGGAAGGUGAGUUGUGGUGCGAGCCGGUCUGGGACUCGUUACUCUGUUGGCCGCCGACCAAAGCUUCCACUACAGCCAAACAGAGAUGCCCGUACGAAGAUGGAUUUGAUACAACCAAAUCUGUGGAGAAGAAAUGUGGAUAUAAUGGCCGUUGGGAGGGUCAGAACGGGACAAACAACGAUUCUCCUCAUGGAUGGGCAAACUACACGACUUGUAUGACACCGGAAAUGCUUCGAUUACAUGGAAAAGUUUACACUAAUGCUAUCGAGGGUAACAUGAAACUGGACAUUGCUGAGAAAACUCGUACUUUAGAGUUCGUGGGUUUAAGCAUCUCUUUAGUAGCAUUAUUUGCUUCACUCGCCAUAUUCUGUCGUUUUAGGUCCCUGAGAAAUACUAGAACCAGGAUACAUAAGAACUUAUUCGUUGCCAUGGUCGUCCAGGUUCUGAUUAGAUUAACGAUCUACAUAGAUAUCGAAAUCUUGAGGAAGAAAACUUAUGGCAUUCAACGAGGCAUAGGAAACACCCCUGUACUUUGUGAAGCCAGUUACGCACUUUUGGAAUAUGCCAAAACUGCAAUGUUCAUGUGGAUGUUUAUAGAGGGACUGUUCCUUCACAACAUGGUCACUGUAACAGUGUUUCAAGAAAACUCUUACUAUAGGAUGUAUAGGUUCAUUGGAUGGGGUUGUCCUGUCAUGAUGACGCUAAUUUGGGCGAUCAUUACCGCGUUUUAUUAUCAUCCAAAAUCAAAAUUUUCCAGAUGUUGGUCUGGAUAUAAUUUGUCUUCCUAUUUUUGGAUCCUAGAGGGACCCAGAUUUGCAGUAAUAUUGCUCAAUUUUCUGUUCUUGUUGAACAUUGUCAGAGUGCUCGUAGUGAAACUUCGACAAAGUCAUACUAGUGAAAUCGAGCAAGUCCUAAAAGCUGUGAGAGCAGCUGUAGUGCUUUUACCAUUAUUGGGUAUUACUAACGUGCUCUUUAUGAUCGAAGCACCUUUGCACAAUGUAAGAAAGUUCGCGUUAUGGUCAUAUUCUACGCAUUUUCUUCAAUCUUUUCAAGGACUCUUCAUUGCAACUCUUUACUGUUUUCUAAAUGGCGAGGUAAGACUUGCUCUGGACAAGACUAUUUCCGUAUAUCUUUCUUUAAGAGGAACUGAUUUGCAAGCGAGAAGACAGUCAACAUUCAGUGGUUGCCAACCCCAAAGAAUUGCGUCUGUGAUCGAGAUGGAGGAAGAAGAGAUGAGAUCCAGCGGAUGGAUAAGAUUAUGCUGUCGAGGUGGAAACACUCCACCACCGGACCGACCUGCCGAGUGAGUAAUGAUCAUGGAACAAUCGCCCGCAUUUAGAUCAUUACCAGCAUCGACGGUCGAUCCUUCUCGCAACAUCAUACUAGUAGCUGUUUGACCAGAGCCUUUUUGGACUCCUCAAUCUUGGACAGAAGUUUCCAAAUUCCCCUCAGAUCAUGAAGAUGGGCUAUGAAUUUUUUUUAGAUAAUGAAGAUAUUU
rnacentral:misc_RNA from 1 species